rnacentral:lncRNA from 1 species
GGGUAUAAAAAUACAGGUAAACUCUAGAGUAAUCUGAGAAUAAAAUGAUGUAUGAAAAACCUUGGAUCCUUUCUCGUUCUCUUUUGCCAUCAUUUUAUAGAUAUUUGGAGAAGGAUUGUUACGGCAACAUGAUCUCCGGUGAGGAUCUGGUGCAUUGAAGACUGUCUUCAAUGUUGAUUUUCUUAACGUUUUGGUUUGACCGGGUCAUGUCAGGUCGGAAUUAUCUCUAUUUCGAGUUUAUAAUUGUUUUCUUUCUUCAUGGGCCAUGUUAUUCUUCUAAUGGUCUUUUGGUUUACUGAAUUGGAUCUUAGAUCGGGUUUGGAAUGGA